rnacentral:misc_RNA from 1 species
AAGUCGUAACAAGGUUUCCGUAGGUGAACCUGCGGAAGGAUCAUUAACACGUAUCCAAACGUUAAAACAACCCUGUGGCAGGGAUCAAUGUUCAGGGUGGCGCAGUCAACGAUCGCUGUAGGUCCACACGACCGGCGACCGGGGUGGAGGCGAAAGCCCCUACGUCAUCCCUAUGUACCCUCCGGGACUUGGCGAAAGCUGACUCCGUCAUAAAUCGAACAACUGUUAACAAUGGAUAUCUUGGUUCUC